GACGAACGCUGGCGGCGUGCCUAAUACAUGCAAGUUGAGCGCUGAAGGUUGGUACUUGUACCAACUGGAUGAGCAGCUAACGGGUGAGUAACGCGUGGGGAAUCUGCCUUUGAGCGGGGGACAACAUUUGGAAACGAAUGCUAAUACCGCAUAAAAACUUUAAACACAAGUUUUAAGUUUGAAAGAUGCAAUUGCAUCACUCAAAGAUGAUCCCGCGUUGUAUUAGCUAGUUGGUGAGGUAAAGGCUCACCAAGGCGAUGAUACAUAGCCGACCUGAGAGGGUGAUCGGCCACAUUGGGACUGAGACACGGCCCAAACUCCUACGGGAGGCAGCAGUAGGGAAUCUUCGGCAAUGGACGAAAGUCUGACCGAGCAACGCCGCGUGAGUGAAGAAGGUUUUCGGAUCGUAAAACUCUGUUGGUAGAGAAGAACGUUGGUGAGAGUGGAAAGCUCAUCAAGUGACGGUAACUACCCAGAAAGGGACGGCUAACUACGUG
rnacentral:rRNA from 1 species